rnacentral:RNase_P_RNA from 1 species
CGAGUCGGUCGGGUAAUCGCGGCAGGAAACUGUCGAGGAAAGUCCGGACUCCACAGGGCAAGAGUGGUGGAUAACGUCCACCUGGGGUGACCCACGGGAAAGUGCAACAGAAAGUAAACCGCCAAACUGCAUUAAUUUGUCGUUUGGUAAGGAUGAAACGGUGAGGUAAGAGCUCACCAGCGCAGGUGGUGACAUUUGCGGCUAGGUAAACCCCACUCGGAGCAAGACCAAAAGGACUUCGGUCCAUUGCAGGUGACGGCCCGUCAAAUGCCUGCGGGUAGGUUGCAACAGGUUGCUGGUAACAGUGAUCGCAGAUGGAUGAUUACCGUCAGUUUCACUGACACAGAAUCCGGCUUAUAGACCGGCUCGCCUC